rnacentral:sRNA from 4 species
GUUUGCACUUGUCGGGGAAGGGUGAGAACCUUCGAUUAAGGUUCGACUCGAGCGAAAGCGAGAGAAUGUUGCCAACGGCAACGGCCCGUAGGGUGAGGAGCGAAGCGACGAAUAAUCUUUCCCCCACCACCA